CGUAGGCCUUAUUGCGCCGACUCUGCAUUUUUGUCAAAGAGAAUGAACAAGCGAACAUCCGCAGCUGACAAGAAGAGACUAGUUUUUCAAGUCAUUCUGGAAUUCAAUGAACCUAUUUGUCUAUCUGAAAUAGAAGAUAAGGCCUCAAAGAAGGGAAUUACUCGAAAUCUGAUUAAGGAUAUUGUACUGGAGCUAGCAAAUGAAGGCUCCAUUCAAACGAGCAAAGUGGGCGCUUCCUCCAUCUACUGGGCGUUCGUGGGAGACACGAUAGAAGCCAAGCAGAGCAAAAUCAAAAAUCUAGAAGAAAACAUUGAAAAAAGCAGUUCUAAGCUCGAAGAGCUGCAGAAAAAAUACACAAAUGCCUUGGUGGGCCGGGAAGAGAGCGAUGAAAGACACCAAAAGCUAGAAGAACUCAAAAAACUUCAAAGUGAAGUUAAUGAUUUGGAACAAGCCAUAAAAAAAUUAAAGAACAACGAUCCUGUGCUCGUUCAGGCGAUGGUAGAGGAUUCUAAGCUCGCCACUGAAGCAGCAAAUCGAUGGACAGAAAAUGUGAUGAAUAUCAGAGCUUGGGCAAUCAACAAAUUCGGUAAUUCUAGACAAGACUUCGAUUCUUAUUUUGGCAUUUCUGAUAACUUCGACACUUUUCCCAUGCCAAAAACACCUCUAUAGAAUUUGUUUAGCAAGGCUGGUAUAUAAGAUGUGCCAUCUGGUCGGUUUUAUAACUUCUACACAGAAGUCCCUCAAACACCGAGGGUAUAUUGCGCUAAAUUCAGACCGAUUGAAUCUGCGCAAUGAAAAAAAAAGUCAUUUUCGCGGUACGAUAAUAAGUUUUGACAUCUUUGAAUUUUUCAUAGAGAUGUACAAAGGCCGUGGCCGCUAUUCAACCGGCUCUGACUUAUCCAACCCGAGUCCUAUUGAGGCCUACGGCGUCUUUAUACAUCCCUCCGAGGACUGUAUGCUGUUCAAGGCCUUAGACUAUUCUAGAGUCCCCAAGUUUAAUUCACCUGUUUUUUUAGAAAACAAAGUGGAAUUUGGUUAUGUCAAUGAGAUACUGGGCCCUAUAAAUGAAUUUUUUUUUUCCGUUCAGCCCAAGGAAGGCUUUGGGCCAUCUUAUUUUAAAAAAAACGAAAAGUGCUACAUUUCGGUCGACCGAUUUUUGCCGUCAUCCAUGUUUUUGGAAGAAAACGUAAAAAAAAAUGUAAGGAAUGUGGCGCCAGCUCGCGGCAGGCCUGCCAGAAGAGGUGGUAGACAGGGCGGAUUUAGGGGUCGCGGAGGUAGAGGAGGCUAUAGAGGAGGCUAUAACAACAACCGAGGCGCCCGAGGCGGCUUUAGACGAUGAGAAACAGAACUUGAGGCACAAGAUACUUCCAAUCCUUCGAGACGUAACGUUAAAUUUUACAGAACAUGCGAUCAUGAAGGAUGAAACUAGAUUGCGUACCAAAGUGGACAUCACACGAUACCUUUUGCUGGGCGUUAUGGACUAUUUUUGUACUACAUAUUUUUGUAUUGUUUGAGAAGUAAAAAUAGCCUCGAUAGAGUUCUAGUUGUGA